rnacentral:rRNA from 1 species
AUUGAACGCUGGCGGCAUGCCUUACACAUGCAAGUCGAACGGCAGCGCGGACUUCGGCCUGGCGGCGAGUGGCGAACGGGUGAGUAAUACAUCGGAACGUACCCUGUUGUGGGGGAUAACUAGUCGAAAGAUUAGCUAAUACCGCAUACGACCUGAGGGUGAAAGUGGGGGAUCGCAAGGCCUCACGCAGCAGGAGCGGCCGAUGUCUGAUUAGCUAGUUGGUGGGGUAAAGGCCCACCAAGGCGACGAUCAGUAGCUGGUCUGAGAGGACGAUCAGCCACACUGGGACUGAGACACGGCCCAGACUCCUACGGGAGGCAGCAGUGGGGAAUUUUGGACAAUGGGGGCAACCCUGAUCCAGCAAUGCCGCGUGUGUGAAGAAGGCCUUCGGGUUGUAAAGCACUUUUGUCCGGAAAGAAAUCGCGCUGGUUAAUACCUGGCGUGGAUGACGGUACCGGAAGAAUAAGCACCGGCUAACUACGUG